rnacentral:lncRNA from 1 species
GGAAUCUGUUCUUCAUUCUGGUGGUAAAUUUUCAGUUACUCUGCAAAGCCCUGUGAAUGCCUAUGCCUCACUUUUUCUGCAAAACACUGAAGAGAGACCCCGGGGAACUCCUUCAGCUGUGACACUGUAAUGGGAGGUGGAGACACCUCGAGGAGAAGGUCGAGACAGACAACAGCAAUUGCAGUCAACAACAUCCUGACUCGCCUCGAUUACAGAAACCUCAGAAGAACUGUACACCCUUGAAAUCUGUGUUGAUGUGUUUUAAAUUUAUGAUAUGAAGCACAUCCACUCUCAGCAGGUUGCAGGAAGGGGCCAUAAAAUCAUAACACAUCUUUGGAGGGAAAGAAGAGUUUCCCAACAGAUGGCAAAACACAAGCACAUAUACAGUGCCCUGCAAAGGUAAUUCCUUACCAGACCCUGAAACAGCUGAAGUACAGAUUGUCUGUCUUGCACACUGCUAACCUCUGUGGCAUAUUUGUACCCAGGUUCCUU